UUGUGGCAGAGUAGAAGUAGCCUCCUUUACUCCUGGGGGAGGAGACCAAGUUUUUCUAGCAAAGCGCUCACCUUGCCACAAAUUUCAUGUGGAGAGAGUAUCACAGGGAAAGAGGAGCAAUUAUGGUUGGAUCCUGAAGCCAGAUAUGAAAAGUAGACCUGAGUUCUAGGAAGAACACAACCCAGGCUCCAGCUGCAGACCUUACUAAACUCAGUCUGAUCUUGGGAGAGUCCAUUCACCCCUCUCUGUCCCAGCUUCCCCUAUCACUAAGAGAAAAAGUACAACACCAAGACUCCACACCAGAACACUGUGAGAGCUUCUUCACAAGUUGCAGGAAAAGCCCUCUGCCCAGAGAAGACAUCCCUGUACAGGGAAAGAGUGUGGCACUAGAAUGUUGUGGGUCUUGUGGCUACCUUCUAGCCCUUGGCUUUAAGCAAGUCCCUUAGCCUGCUUCAGCAUCCUCAGCUGUAAAGAAGGUAACAGGAUCUACUUUAAAAAGUUUUUUAAGUACUAGGGU